ACUCCCACAGACAGCCAAGAACUAGCCACCUCCACCUUCCAUUCUCUUCUUGUUUGUUCGAGUUUUGAGAGAGAAAAGCAAGCAAACUUCCACAGCUUCCAAGCUUCCAAGUCCGGCCUUUCACUUUCAAACUACAAUCAAAAUUCUGAACCAAUAAAGUAUUUUCUCUUCCUCUUUUUCACUUUUAUACCAGAGUUUAUAAAGUAAGAUGAAGUAUUUUAGUUGUUUACCUUCCUUGAAGUUUUGGAAAUGGCUAGCAAUGGAGAAAUUUGAUAUUUUUGAUGUUCUUGCUUAGGAACUCUUAUCUAAAAGCUUUAAGGAGUAAGAAACCGUCAUUUUCAGCUUGAGAAAGGCAAAAAAGUGAGCUAGGAAACAUUGAAGAGAGGACUGAUUUUGAGCUAAC